CGGUCCUAAGGUAGCGAAAUUCCUUGUCGGGUAAGUUCCGACCCGCACGAAAGGUGUAACGAUUUGGGCACUGUCUCAACGAGGGACCCGGUGAAAUUGAAGUACCUGUGAAGAUGCAGGUUACCCGCGACUGGACAGAAAGACCCCAUGGAGCUUUACUGUAACCUGACAUUGGGUUCUGAUACAUCACGUACAGGAUAGGUGGGAGGCAUGGAAGCGAGGACGCUAGUCUUCGUGGAGCCGCCGUUGGGAUACCACCCUUGAUGUAUCGGAAUUCUAACCGUAGGAGUAACGAAACUCGGGACAGUGUCAGGCGGGCAGUUUGACUGGGGCGGUCGCCUCCCAAAGAGUAACGGAGGCGCCCAAAGGUUCCCUCAGCGCGGCCGGAAAUCGCGCGAAGAGUGUAAAGGCAGAAGGGAGCUUGACUGAGAGCCAAACACGGCAAUCAGGUACGAAAGUAGGGCUUAGUGAUCCGGUGGCAUCCAAGUGGAAGGGCCAUCGCUCAACGGAUAAAAGCUACCCUGGGGAUAACAGGCUAAUCUCUCCCAAGAGUCCAUAUCGACGGGGAGGUUUGGCACCUCGAUGUCGGCUCAUCACAUCCUGGGGCUGAAGUCGGUCCCAAGGGUUGGGCUGUUCGCCCAUUAAAGUGGUACGUGAGCUGGGUUCAGAACGUCGUGAGACAGUUCGGUCCCUAUCCAUCGCGGGCGCAAGAGAUUUGAAGGGGGCUGCUCCUAGUACGAGAGGACCGGAGUGGACGAACCAAUGGUGUACCAAUUAUCUCGCCAGAGGUAUAGUUGGGUAGCUACGUUCGGAAAGGAUAAACGCUGAAAGCAUCUAAGCGUGAAACCAGCCUUAAGAUGAGAUCUCUCAUAGAGCAAUCUAGUAAGACACCUUGGAGAAGACGAGGUUGAUAGGUCGGGAGUGUAAGUACAGUAAUGUAUUCAGCGGACCGAUACUAAUAUGUCGAGGGCUUGACUUG
rnacentral:rRNA from 1 species